GGCUACGGCUGCCUACAGCUACAGCUCUUGCCGACACGUGCGAGAGCUGACGUCCCAUUGGGAUUGGGAGCAACCUCCAGGUGAGUGGUUCCCUGGAGAAAAUUAAUAGACAUUGGCCUUGCCAGCGACACGAAUUUUCGGUGUAUUUAUUUAUCUCUCUCUAGUGGAAUAAUUACCACAAAAAAACCACACUGCACAACCAAGUCAAAUGUCAGGGGAAAGCUAAAGUAGUUUGAUUUGUGGGAAGGAAGUUUUAGAUAAAGUUUUCCGCGAAAACGUUGACUGAUGGACGAUACAAACAGGAUCACGUUGUGUCCCCAUUCGACACCAGGACAAACCAUAACACCCAUGUCAGUGGGAUAACCCACAAAAUUUCAGUCUUUUG
rnacentral:lncRNA from 1 species